CCACAUAUAGGUGAUUAGAUGACAAUAUAAAGUGUUUACAUGUUAUGAUCCUACAAGCCCACUACUUGCAUUCAAAUAAGGCAGACACUGCGCAUGUAAGGAACGAAGAAUUUUUGACUUCGUUUUGUGUUGAGUGAGAAGUCAUCUUGGGUUGAGAUUGUUUUUAUUUUGAGCGAAAUGGAGGAAACACUUAGUGUCUUAUCGGACGAUGUAUGCGAGCGAGAUGAUAAGUCUAUGGGAAGUAGUUGCCUUACAGUGCCGUCAGCUCCAAAGCGAGGGAUGCGGAAAAGAAGUUUUGACGAUGCACAAAGUCGCUUGAAAUCUCGAAAACUACUUGGAUUAGGAGGAAAGGAGGCGUCAAAGGUUCUUCAAGUUUUGGGCAACUGCGAGCAUCUUGACACAAAAUUACCUCGUGGAUUAAGCUUAUGGCUUUUUUCCUCCUCUCUCAUGUUUCUUGCCAUGGCUAUUCUGUGUCUUUUUUUGGUCAGACCAUUUUCUAUCUGGCUUGGAGUCGAUCAUGCUCCUCGAAGAAAUGUGUUAGAAGUUCGACUACUUGGAGCAACAUUUGCUGGUUUAUUUUGCCUCACAUUUUUGACAAGUGUUACCUCGUAUCUCGUCGUAAGGAAUAUAUUACUUUGUCAUUUGGUUUAUUUCGGGCAGCUUGUUUGAUUUUUCUGUACGAACUUUACAUGGAAUCCAACAAAUACGUCAUAUUAUUUUUGGUAUUUCACACUUUCAUUCUCAUAAUCACAACGGUUUAUUUGGAGAUAUUAUGGCGUAUAAACCGACCGAUUCCUGAUAAACCUGUGAAUAUUGCUGACGCGGAUAAUAGCGAAGAAUUGAACUGAUUUGGAAAUUCGUUUGUGCUGAAGACUUGAAGUUGUGCGUUUAGAGCCAAAAAUAUGAAAACCCGUUCGAUGAUGACAACUCAUGGCUAUAUUGUUUUGUUUUCUUACUGUUUCUGCUGUAAAAUAUAAAUAAUUCGCAUCAAUAAUUCUUUGGUGCAACUAGCCCAACAAAGAACGUUGUUUUGAAAUUUUCGACGCUACCAAUUUUGUUUUGAAUAAUUAAGGGUAGGAAGCAUACACGUGUCUUCCUCUCUCUAUGGCGUCGGUGUUUUGUUUCUACAGUAAGCUUACCACUCAAGUAUACAAAUUGAUGUAUAUAGUUGUAUUAAUAUAUAUAUAAAAGCAGAACGUGAUUGUCGUCUUCA